rnacentral:rRNA from 1 species
UUUCCUACGGGGGCAGCAGUGGGGAAUAUUGCACAAUGGGGGAAACCCUGAUGCAGCGACGCCGCGUGGGCGAGGAAGUACCUCGGUAUGUAAAGCCCUAUCAGCAGGGAAGAAACAGGACAGUACCUGACUAAGAAGCCCCGGCUAACUACGUGCCAGCAGCCGCGGUAAUACGUAGGGAGCAAGCGUUAUCCGGAUUUACUGGGUGUAAAGGGCGUGUAGGCGGGCAUGCAAGCCAGAAGUGAAAUCUGGGGGCUUAACCCCCAAACUGCUUUUGGAACUGCGUGUCUUGAGUGAUGGAGAGG